rnacentral:hammerhead_ribozyme from 1 species
ACACUGCUGAAGAGUCCCAUAAUAGGACGAAAUGGCCGUCCAGUGC